GUGCGGCGGCGUGCUACUCUCCCACACCCUGUCGGGUGCAGUACCAUCGCCGUGCCAGGCCUUAGCUUCCGGGUUCGGAAUGGGACCGGGCGUCUCACCUGGGCCAUGGCCGCCGCA
rnacentral:rRNA from 1 species